rnacentral:rRNA from 1 species
AGAGUUUGAUCCUGGCUCAGGACGAACGCUGGCGGCGUGCCUAAUACAUGCAAGUAGAACGCUGAAGAGAGGAGCUUGCUCUUCUUGGAUGAGUUGCGAACGGGUGAGUAACGCGUAGGUAACCUGCCUUGUAGCGGGGGAUAACUAUUGGAAACGAUAGCUAAUACCGCAUAACAAUGGAUGACACAUGUCAUUUAUUUGAAAGGGGCAAUUGUUCCACUACAAGAUGGACCUGCGUUGUAUUAGCUAGUAGGUGAGGUAAUGGCUCACCUAGGCGACGAUACAUAGCCGACCUGAGAGGGUGAUCGGCCACACUGGGACUGAGACACGGCCCAGACUCCUACGGGAGGCAGCAGUAGGGAAUCUUCGGCAAUGGGGGCAACCCUGACCGAGCAACGCCGCGUGAGUGAAGAAGGUUUUGGAUCGUAAAGCUCUGUUGUAAGUCAAGAACGGGUGUGAGAGUGGAAAGUUCACACUGUGACGGUAGCUUACCAGAAAGGGACGGCUAACUACGUGCCAGCAGCCGCGGUAAUACGUAGGUCCCGAGCGUUGUCCGGAUUUAUUGGGCGUAAAGCGAGCGCAGGCGGUUUGAUAAGUCUGAAGUUAAAGGCUGUGGCUCAACCAUAGUUCGCUUUGGAAACUGUCAAACUUGAGUGCAGAAGGGGAGAGUGGAAUUCCAUGUGUAGCGGUGAAAUGCGUAGAUAUAUGGAGGAACACCGGUGGCGAAAGCGGCUCUCUGGUCUGUAACUGACGCUGAGGCUCGAAAGCGUGGGGGGCGAACAGGAUUAGAUACCCUGGUAGUCCACGCCGUAAACGAUGAGUGCUAGGUGUUGGAUCCUUUCCGGGAUUCAGUGCCGCAGCUAACGCAUUAAGCACUCCGCCUGGGGAGUACGACCGCAAGGUUGAAACUCAAAGGAAUUGACGGGGGCCCGCACAAGCGGUGGAGCAUGUGGUUUAAUUCGAAGCAACGCGAAGAACCUUACCAGGUCUUGACAUCCCGAUGCUAUUUCUAGAGAUAGAAAGUUACUUCGGUACAUCGGUGACAGGUGGUGCAUGGUUGUCGUCAGCUCGUGUCGUGAGAUGUUGGGUUAAGUCCCGCAACGAGCGCAACCCCUAUUGUUAGUUGCCAUCAUUCAGUUGGGCACUCUAGCGAGACUGCCGGUAAUAAACCGGAGGAAGGUGGGGAUGACGUCAAAUCAUCAUGCCCCUUAUGACCUGGGCUACACACGUGCUACAAUGGUUGGUACAACGAGUUGCGAGUCGGUGACGGCGAGCUAAUCUCUUAAAGCCAAUCUCAGUUCGGAUUGUAGGCUGCAACUCGCCUACAUGAAGUCGGAAUCGCUAGUAAUCGCGGAUCAGCACGCCGCGGUGAAUACGUUCCCGGGCCUUGUACACACCGCCCGUCACACCACGAGAGUUUGUAACACCCGAAGUCGGUGAGGUAACCUUUUGGAGCCAGCCGCCUAAGGUGGGACAGAUGAUUGGGGUGAAGUCGUAACAAGGUA